GACCGCAUGCAUUCUCUGGCUUUUGUCGUUUUUCUUUUGGGUUUAUUGUUUUUGUUGUCCGCUUAGUUUCAUUUUAGACUUCCUUGUGCAUGGUUGUUGCCGUUGUUGCUGCGAUUUUUGUUCGGAUAUAAUUUUGUUUAAUUCGAUUCCUGUGCGUGGGGGUACGUGUAUUUUAAUUAAUAGUAAAAAUAUAACAUUCGUUGUCAUUAUCAAGCAUCAAGUCAAGUAACGGCAAAAUUACCGCAGUGUUAAAUAAACGCGUAACGUUUUCUAAAUUAUUUAACGCGCGACGAUCAGUUUGAUAUUGUGUGAGUGUGUGUGUGAUAUUCUUGAAAUUUAAGCAAAAUUCCAACGCUGCACGCUCGCUAAGUUCGCCGGCCUUAAAUCAUUGGCGUUUUUAACUUUGGAGGCUAAACGGCAACUGAAAUAACAAACAAU